rnacentral:ncRNA from 3 species
CAUUAUUCUCAGGGCGGGGUGCAAUUCCCCACCGGCGGUAUGCCAGUUUUUUUUGGUGAGCCCGCGAGCGCUUAAAACCCUAACGUUUUAAGGUCAGCAGAUCUGGUGAGAAGCCAGAGCCGACGGUAAUAGUCCGGAUGGGAGAGGAUGAUA